CUUGGAGCAGGUGUGUCGUAUGAACAGAAUCAGGAGCCAGUAGAGAAAGCCUCCAUGCAAACCCCCAGGUUCGUCAGGAUGGGCCCAAUGAGAGUCCUGGACGAGGACGGAUCCAGAAUGAGGUUUCAAGGGAUCCAUGAGGGUUCUGGAAUCCUGUGGAGGUUGGCGAGGUGCAGCUAGCUGUCGGCAGUGUGGAGAUAACAGCUCUUUCCAAAUCUGGCGGCAAAGACUGAGUUGAGCCUGCACUGAUGGAACUGCAAUCUCACCUUCUUGGAUAGGGAAGAAAGGGGUUGAUAGCCCAGAUAAGCCUCAAAGGGGAGGAACACAGGAGGAAGGAAGGAUUGAGUCUGGGUUUGAAGGAGCUUCUUUGGAGGCAAACUGGCGAGAAAGCGUCAGGGUUAACAUUUCUAGACUCAGGUCGAUAGUGAAUCUGAACUGAACCAAAAAAAUAAAUACAAUUUAAAAAAAAAAAA